GGGCAACAUUUGAUAGCAUUGGGAUUUCAAAAGAAAAUUUGUUUAAACUUAGAGUGGAGAGGCAGAGAGCCCUGCGAUGUCUCACAGGAAAGUGGCGAGGGCUUGGCAAAAUAAAAAAUAAUAAUUAAAAUUAAUUAGCUAAUUACUUUUUGCUUUUACUUUCCCUAAUAGUAAAAACCCUAGAUUUUUACUUCUCUCUCUGUCGCACCCUUCGUGAAAGCUAGCCGCCUACCACCCAAUCACCUAUGAGAGCUCCAUUAUACAGACCACCCAACCUGACCCACCACCAUCUCCCUCAGUUCCGAACAACCACCAUUACCACUGCCCUAUGUCAGAGCCCAGACACGCCUGAGCUCCAAGGUCGCCGCACCACCUCCUCCCAAGUUCUCAAAUUGCACGACCCCGUCGCCUCCAAGGGCCCCAUCAUCGCAUGCCACCUUUCACCCAGGCUGAGGCCAUCACCGUGCCUCUUCUCUCAAAGCUCUGAUCACCACCCAGUCAACAAUCGCACCAACCUCGUUCUCUGAAGGUCAAAUCCCCAUCGUCCCUACACCACGCAUACCAAAUCCACAUUGAGCAUGACCCGAGCCCUCAAGUUAUUCAGGCUAAUAUCUCUGAGCUAAGCCUCUCGUUUUCUCACAUGUUGUAUUUUACAUUUUUGGCUCAUUCGCUAUACCAAGUUUCAAUUGUUUUGAGAUGGGAGGUGUUCUAACUGUGAUGUGGGUAUCUUGAGAAAGUAAUGUGUUGGCCAUUUGAGCAUUGUAUAUGGUAAAGUUGUUGGUUUCUACUGCUGAGAUUUUGGGGUAAAAUAUGCAUAUGUUUGGGUGACUUGAAUUGAUUUUGGUGCUAAUAUUUUUAAUGCUAUUGAGUUGUGUUUAGGGUCCCUACUGCUGAGAUUUUACGGUUACUUUGAGCUGAUUAUUUGUGGUGGUCAUUGUUUGAUUUGAGUUGCAAUUUGAUUGAGAAUAUGAGCUAAGUUUGGGGGAUCAUACCUGUGUUAUUGACAAGUUGUUUGGCAGUCUUAUUUGAGUAAAUUUGAUGAGUCUUUGAUUUAGUACAACCAAGUUGAGGAUUAAUGUAUGGUUGUUGCAAUAUUUUUUCUUCUAAUCAUUGAAGCUACUUGGUGCCUCUUCUGAGAUUGAUAUUGUAGCUGCCAUUUUGUGAAAGUAUAUGAUCAAUUUGAACCAAAUUUUUGGUGAGGCCCUGAGUUAAUUUCAGUUGCAUUUUGAGGCUCCCUUGAGUUGAUUUUACUGUUGUCAUUGGGUUUUGUUGUGAGAAAUGUCAUUGGCUCUCUAAUGCUUGGUUAUAUUGAGCUUAUUUGAGUUAUCUUACUAAGGGAAUAUUGCUUAUGCUAUUGAUUUGUCUUAUGGGAAAGUUUGAAUAAACUGUGCUGGUAUUUUGGAGCUGAUUUCAGCAGAUUGUUGGCAUUUGGGCAUCCUAUUUUAGACCUAUUUGUUGGUUCCAUGGUGUUCAUUUGUCUUGAUAAUUUGAGCAAAUUUUUGGGUGAUUCCCCUUGAUCGAUUGUAUACUUGGUGAGCUGUAAUUGUGGGUAUCUAUUGUGCUAUGUGAAAUUGAUUAAAUAAGCUGAGAUAUGGAUUACAUUGGAUCACUUUUGCUAGUUGUUUGGGAGAUAUUUGGAACAAAGUUUGGGGUUCCUGCUGCUCAUUUCUUUUGAAAAGUGACCUGAAACUUGCAAGCAGAUUGGGAUUGAUUUGGUAGCAGAUAGGAUUUCUCUGUGGCACGCGUGGUGACGUGAGGAGUUCUAUCGUCGUAGGGUGUAUGGCGUGGGGUAUCCUAUGGACGAAAUAAACGAUCACUUUAGGAUGUCAUUUUAAUUUUGUUAUGUUUUAAGAGACUUUCUAAAUUUUCAGUGGGACUUAAUUAUUUAGUAUUGUUUCUUUUGAACUUUGCAUAAAAACUCAUAUUUUCUUUUUAAACUAAUGGGCCCAACUUGCAUUGUUUUAAGCAAGUCCCCACUGAGACCUUUAUAAAAGUGGUUUUUUUUCUUUAUGAACCAAUGAUAUGUGAAUGUUUUAUUAAGUACUAGUAUAGGGCGUUCUUUACAGAUUUGUGCUAAAAAAAAAUUGGUGUUGCUUUAACUUGAUCUGGUUGUUGCCAUUUGGAUCACUUUAAGUCUUAAUUGUUGGGUUUCUUUUG